rnacentral:rRNA from 1 species
GUCUAUGGCCACACCACCCAGAAUGUGCCUGAUUUUGUCUGAUCUCGGAAGCUAAGCAGGGUCAGGCCUGGUUAGCACUUGGAAGGGAGAAACCCCAACACCUAUGAAAGAAAAUUGAUGUGAUUGGUA